UGAACGCUGGCGGCGUGCCUACUACAUGCAAGUCGAGCGAACGGACGAGAAGCUUGCUUCUCUGAUGUUAGCGGCGGACGGGUGAGUAACACGUGGAUAACCUACCUAUAAGACUGGGAUAACUUCGGGAAACCGGAGCUAAUACCGGAUAAUAUUUUGAACCGCAUGGUUCAAAAGUGAAAGACGGUCUUGCUGUCACUUAUAGAUGGAUCCGCGCUGCAUUAGCUAGUUGGUAAGGUAACGGCUUACCAAGGCAACGAUGCAUAGCCGACCUGAGAGGGUGAUCGGCCACACUGGAACUGAGACACGGUCCAGACUCCUACGGGAGGCAGCAGUAGGAAAUCUUCCGCAAUGGGCGAAAGCCUGACGGAGCAACGCCGCGUGAGUGAUGAAGGUCUUCGGAUCGUAAAACUCUGUUAUUAGGGAAGAACAUAUGUGUAAGUAACUGUGCACAUCUUGACGGUACCUAAUCAGAAAGCCACGGCUAACUACGUG
rnacentral:rRNA from 1 species